rnacentral:rRNA from 1 species
UGCCAGCAGCCGCGGUAACACGGGGGGCGCAAGCGUUAUUCGGAAUUAUUGGGCGUAAAGGGCGCGCAGGCGGUCUUGUCCGUCAGGUGUGAAAGCUCGGGGCUCGACCCCGGAAGUGCACUUGAAACAGCAAGACUUGAAUACGGUAGAGGAGAGAGGAAUUCCUGGUGUAGAGGUGAAAUCCGUAGAUAUCGGGAGGAACACCAGUGGCGAAGGCGGCCACCUGGGCCGAUAUUGACGCUGAGGCGCGAAGGCGUGGGUAGCGAACGGGAUUAGAUA